rnacentral:lncRNA from 1 species
AACGUUCAUCAGGUCACACAGCUAUGUAGCGGCAGAGCUGGAUUUCAACCAGGUCUGUCCAGCAGGCUCCCAGACCCACACAUGAAUGUUAGCUCCAUGUGGUGUGGUUGGCCACCGAGGAGACAGCUGCAACCCAGGCAGAGGAAACUGCAUAGACGAGACUGCAGACAUGAAAGAAUCCAGCCUGGUUAAGCAACUGUUUCUAACCAGAGGGUAGUUGUUGAAAUUUCUCAUACGUAAUGAGGAAGACUAUAAAAGAGGGACACAAUUGACAAGUCACAACAAAAUCAAAAUCUUUUUUUCCACAGUCUUCCUCAUAUGCUCUAAAAUUAAAGGCCGAGCAGGGCCCUCUGGAAUGACGGCGGAACAAGAAAACGCAGGUCUGAAUGGAGACUUUCCAUCUCACCCGGUGGGAGCCUUUCCACUCUGCGCUCCUUGGAGAAAGCCAUUUGGAAGGUGACUCCAACCAUAGAGACAGCUGUGCUUUAGAGGCUGGAGCAGAGUGUGUGUGUGCAUGAAGGAGC